rnacentral:precursor_RNA from 1 species
CAUAUCUCAGGAGCUUUAACUUGCCCUUUAAUGGCUUUUACUCUUCUUUGGAUUGAAGGGAGCUCUACAUCUUCUUUCACCUUCUCUAUUUUUUAUUUUUCUUUAUUUCUACUCAACAAUUAUUUAUUCGGAUUCACCUUUAAUUUUCCGUUAUAAUUUCUUUUUGGUAAGGAUUAUUCGCUAUAAUUUGAGAAUUAUAUGGUUAUUAUUUUGAUUCCGAAGCAAUGUUUAGCGUGUUAUUUGUUUUUCUUGUAAAAAACUAGGGUUUAUGCAA